AGCCCUGAGGUGUUUCACAUAUUAGAUUGCAAAUCUAAAGAAGCAGGCUAAUCACCUGCCGGGGCUU
rnacentral:tRNA from 1 species